rnacentral:rRNA from 1 species
CUACGGGGGGCAGCAGUGAGGAAUAUUGCACAAUGGGGGGAACCCUGAUGCAGCAACGCCGCGUGGAGGAUGACGCAUUUCGGUGUGUAAACUCCUUUUAUAUGUCAAGAAAAUGACGGUAGCAUAUGAAUAAGCACCGGCUAACUCCGUGCCAGCAGCCGCGGUAAUACGGAGGGUGCAAGCGUUACUCGGAAUCACUGGGCGUAAAGUACGCGUAGGCGGGUUGGAAAGUCAGGUGUGAAAUCCUACGGCUUAACUGUAGAACUGCACUUGAAACUUCUAAUCUAGAGUAUGGGAGGGGGAGAUGGAAUUAGUGGUGUAGGGGUAAAAUCCGUAGAUAUCACUAGGAAUACCUAAAGCGAAGGCGAUCUCCUGGAACAUUACUGACGCUAAGGCGUGAAAGCGUGGGGAGCAAACAGGAUUAGAUACCCUUGUAGUC